rnacentral:lncRNA from 1 species
CUUAGAGGGUAUUUUUGGUUCACGUGUGAUUUUACAGCCCAACUAUUCUCUCUUUUACCAGAUUGCACUGCAAAUGAUGUUUAGCAGUUUUACAUACCUCUAUCUUUUCUCUCAAGGUACUCCCUUGAUACCACAUUUGAUUAUUCCCUUCAUUAUACUUCUGUGAUUGUUUCAAAAUGUGUCCUUAUUUCUUAAUGGUCGACACCAUAAGGGAAGAGUCAAUUUCUUAAAGGCAGAAAACAUACCAUUAUCCCAAUAGGUAGAAGAUGGUUCUCUGCUCUCACUAAGAAGUCCAGUACUAAGGUCACUUAGGUAUUUGGCAGCAUCUUACUCAGGUUUCUUAAGAUUGUUUCUCUAUUUCACAAAAUCUUUUUUAAAAGAGUAUAGGAUUUAAUUUACUGUCUGCUAUAGCUUUUGAUAGUCGACUGAAUUACAUAAACAUCUUGAAAAAUCAAGAAACGCCCAACUUAUCCCCCCCUCCGGCUCAUGUCUGUUUUAUCAAAGGCAAGAGAGGCAAAAAGAGCCUUGACAUUUCAGACUAGAGACAGAAGAAUCCUAGCAAUCUGAGAGAUGGAG